rnacentral:rRNA from 1 species
AGCGAACGCUGGCGGCAGGCUUAACACAUGCAAGUCGAGCGGGCAUCCUUGUGGUGUCAGCGGCAGACGGGUGAGUAACGCGUGGGAACGUGCCCUUCGGUUCGGAAUAACUCAGGGAAACUUGAGCUAAUACCGGAUACGUGCGAGAGCAGAAAGGUUUAUCUGCCGAAGGAUCGGCCCGCGUCUGAUUAGCUAGUUGGUGAGGUUACGGCUCACCAAGGCGACGAUCAGUAGCUGGUCUGAGAGGAUGAUCAGCCACACUGGGACUGAGACACGGCCCAGACUCCUACGGGAGGCAGCAGUGGGGAAUAGUGGACAAUGGGGGCAACCCUGAUCCAGCCAUGCCGCGUGAGUGAUGACGGCCUUAGGGUUGUAAAGCUCUUUUCUCCGGGACGAUAAUGACGGUACCGGAGGAAUAAGCCCCGGCUAACUUCGUG